UUUCAUAAUCAGUUCCUGGAUUACGCUAGUCCUGUGCGCAUGCUCAGAGCCUUUCAGCGCACAUAUUUAAUAACUGUGUCCAACAACCUAAAAUGUCAAGAGAAAUACAGCAGGUGCUGCGGCUCAUCAUGCUAACAGGAAAGCAAAAACAGCGGCGUGUUUUAAAGACUGCAGGGGGGCUUUUGGUACUUUUGUGGACUGAAACAGAACUUUCUGGUCAAAAGAUAAACUGCACCGUUGCAGCUGCUGGUCCCUGGUGCUCAGGGAUUCAAAUGAAAGCACUCCAGCCUGUCCUGUCAGAUUUGAAGGAGAGAAUGUUUCCCUGUGUGGGGCCAUGUCCUGAACCAGACCCUAAGGAGCUGAGUGCCUUCACUGAUCUGUAUGGUUCCCUCGGAUUACUUCUGGCUUUUCAGAUGAAAGAUGCAAGACAUUGCACUUCAGAGUGGCGGGCCCAUAUAGAGGCAUUUUUACGCACAUUUAGUUUGGCUAACGCCGAGAUAAAUGUCCAUCUCAAAUUCAGACUCAGUCAGCUGGACUCACAACAAGAAUUUAAAGUCAAGAUCAAGAGCAACGUUGUACAGGCAAAUCAACCAUCACUGAAAUUAGAUGUCACCUGUUCUAGAAAGUCUCCACUGUGUGUGAAUAAAGGACGCUGGUGUCAGGGAGGACAUCCUGUCCUUGGAGGCAGGUUGCCACUUAGCAUCCCACCACAAGCCAUGGACCAAGGCCUGCUCGGGGAGCUCAGUGUCCAGUUUGUUACACUCCUGAGCCCCUGUGUGCUGCAGUACCCCAAUGCAGCUACAGAACUCACUCACAUACAAAUAUCCUUUGUUGGUUUUGAGAUAAUACUCUUUGUGGCGUUCAUGGACAGAAUU